rnacentral:rRNA from 1 species
AUUGAACGCUGGCGGCAGGCCUAACACAUGCAAGUCGAACGGUAACAGGAAGAAGCUUGCUUCUUUGCUGACGAGUGGCGGACGGGUGAGUAAUGUCUGGGAAACUGCUUGAUGGAGGGGGAUAACUACUGGAAACGGUAGCUAAUACCGCAUAACGUCUCAAGACCAAAGAGGGGGACCUUCGGGCCUCUUGCCAUCGGCUGUGCCCAGAUGGGAUUAGCUAGUAGGUGGGGUAACGGCUCACCUAGGCGACGAUCCGUAGCUGGUCUGAGAGGAUGACCAGCCACACUGGAACUGAGACACGGUCCAGACUCCUACGGGAGGCAGCAGUGGGGAAUAUUGCACAAUGGGCGCAAGCCUGAUGCAGCCAUGCCGCGUGUAUGAAGAAGGCCUUCGGGUUGUAAAGUACUUUCAGCGGGGAGGAAGGGAGUAAAGUUAAUACCUUUGCUCAUUGACGUUACCCGCAGAAGAAGCACCGGCUAACUCCGUG